GGAGUUAGCCGGUGCUUCUUCUGCGAGUAACGUCACAGAUGUAAGGUAUUAACUUACACCCUUUCCUCCUCGCUGAAAGUGCUUUACAACCCGAAGGCCUUCUUCACACACGCGGCAUGGCUGCAUCAGGGUUUCCCCCAUUGUGCAAUAUUCCCCACUGCUGCCUCCCGUAGGAGUCUGGGCCGUGUCUCAGUCCCAGUGUGGCUGAUCAUCCUCUCAGACCAGCUAGGGAUCGUCGCCUAGGUGAGCCUUUACCUCACCUACUAGCUAAUCCCACCUGGGCUUAUCCAUCAGCGCAAGGCCCGAAGGUCCCCUGCUUUCCCCCGUAGGGCCGUAUGCGGUAUUAGCAGUCGUUUCCAACUGUUAUCCCCACAAAUGGGCAAAUUCCCAGGCAUUACUCACCCGUCCGCCGCUCGUCAUCUUCAAAGCAAGCUUUUGAAAUGUUACCGCUCGACUUGCAUGUGUUAGGCCUGCCGCCAGCGUUCAAUCUGAGCCAGGAUCAAACUCUGA
rnacentral:rRNA from 1 species